rnacentral:rRNA from 1 species
AAGUGAAGCGAAGUCGUGAGACGGAGCAAAUCACAAAAAAGACAGUCCCAGUUCGGAUUGUAGUCUGCAACUCGACUACAUGAAGUUGGAAUCGCUAGUAAUCGCGAAUCAGAAUGUCGCGGUGAAUACGUUCCCGGGUCUUGUACACACCGCCCGUCACACCAUGGGAGUUGGAAGCGCCCGAAGUCUGUGACCUAACCGAAAGGGAGGAGCAGCCGAAGGUGAAGCCAGUGACUGGGGUGAAGUCGUAACAAGGUACC